CCGCGAGGCGGGAUCCAGUCAGCUGCUUGGCACAAGCUGAGCGGGAGCCGGCGAGGCCGGAGCCGCGGGGGACGGGUUCUCGCGAGGGACAUGGUGAGCCAACCGGGCGCGGCGCGGCGCGGCGCGGUGUGGUGUGCUGUGCCACCGCCUCCCCCGGGCCCAGGUCACCGCCAACAGGAGGCUACUGGGGCCUCCCUCUGGAGGAUCUCGGCUGCACGCCUUAUUGUCAUGGAGACUUCCCCCAACUUACUCCUUUGGCCUUGUGCCUCGGGGCGAGUCAGACUUGGGGACAUCUGGACGCCAUGGCUUCCGGGCUGGGGCCUGCACUAGGACACCUGUCAUGGAUUUGGCGCAUCUGCAGCGCCAGGCUGGUCUAGGAGAUACCAGCCGUUAAUAAUUGUACAUCUUACAAUUAGAAUGGGAACGUCAUCAUUGUUACUUUAUUUUUUGGUCAGCAAUUAUAUCAAGAAUGAAACAUGGCUUAAUUCAAAUGGUCUCAUUUAAAGUCUGUUGUUUCCCAUACAACCCGUUUUCCAGGAUAGCCAUUUAUCAUGAUAAACCACUCCAUAGAAAUUGCCCAAAUAAGUAACAUUUUUAUUAGUGAGUUUUUAUGCAUUUCCAUAUCAAUUCAGAUGUGCUUGUUUUUCCUAAUAAAGGAAAUGAUUUUUAAAAACCAUUUGGGGUAACAUUCCAUAUUUUAAACAAUAAAAUUAUUACUAAACAUUAAAAAUAAAUCAGAUGAUAGCCAUUUUAAAUACAGUUAUUGGAACACUCAUCCUGAUCCCUUAACAAGCUACACACAUAGUGAGACUAGCAUCCACACAGAACCAGAGCAAGUCAGCGGGGCUGGCAGGUGCAGAGCCACCUCAGUAUGGAACCAACAGAAGGAUUGGAGUCUUGGCUGUUACCAUUCACAGCCCUGUUACUGUACAUUCUUCACAGGACAGUUUAAAACAUAGCUUGCAAUAUUUUUUCUUCCUUUUUACUUACAACUAAAGCUAAGUCAUAUUGAAAGUUGGGAAAAACGGUUUUCAUAUUCAGCUACUUUAUUACACGUGGAAAAAUUUCUAGAGGAAUAACUAUAUCUGGGUUGAAAUAUCUCAGUUUGAUUUUUUUCUGUGAUAAGAUACUACUGCACAUGGAUGAAAGAUGGAAACUACUUAAAAAAAAUCACAUCACUUUCUGAUGAAUGAAAUAUUGUUUUUAAUUUUUUGGACCAGUUUGUUUCUUCUGAUUUGUAUCAUGGAACAAUAUUUUCCACUGCUAUUACAAAUAAAAAAGGAUGCCAAGCAGCAGUCAUAAAACCUAAUUUUUUGCUAACAUGAUGUUCUGGCAUGUGUACUGAAACUUCAUUGGAUUUUGUCGGAGCUAAAGGUUUUGCACACCAGAAAUUUUACAAGCAAGCCAUAGAAAGUUGUAAAUCUGUUUCCACUUCUCAUUUGAGGUAUUUGGCAAGACACCUGUCUCUGCAUCAGAAUAUUCUCCCCAUAAAAUCAAGGACUUGGGUAGAUGUUUACUUCUAAAUAGCUCUACACUUGAUGGAUGAGAAUUUGUUUCUCCAGACCACAGAAGCUUCUGUACCCCAAUCCUUCUCCCAGAACAUGAAUUUAGCUACUUCACUCCUUCCCCACCAACAAUGAGCCAUAUAUCUCUGAAUGUAUCCAGAUAACAUAGGAAGGAGUGUUUUUUAUCUAGUCCAGUUACAGAAAUGCAUUGAGUUAAUAUUUUUGGUUUGUACUUUUUAUGAAGGUGCUUCAAAAACAGAGACUGGCAAUAUAGGCUGAGUGGACAA